ACCCGCAACGCCGAGUCUGAGAGAAUAUCCGUACUCUCAUUUGAUUUGCAGACGGCGUGGGAUGAUGAGCGCGAGGGAUGAGGAAUCAGAGAACUACGGAGAUUGUUCGGCGCUGCUCACACAUUUCCUUCGCCGUCUCUGGUAAUGCUUCUCUCAACGCUUCUUCUCUAUUUGCCUGUUCUUAGACGCAUUUGAAUUAGCUUUCUUUAGGAAUUACUGCAAGUUUCAGUCAGAUGCAGGCCAUACAAACUCACUUGAUAUGGUGAUUUAGCCUGUAAAAGACUUGCGGUUAGUAUCAUUUUUCUCAGCCUCCGCAGGAGUGAAUUAGAAAAGGAAAAACGAGGUAGAAUAGGGAAAGAUCUGGUCGGGUACUAUUUUUCUAUGUUGUUCAGUGAUAUAAUGGCUGAUUUAGUGGGAAUAGUUUCAAGUUUAAGCUUAAAUUUGAACCUGAUCAUGUGAUGUGUGGAACGCCAACUUGGAUUGGCAAGGGAAUCACUUGCAUUUGCUUCAAGCUGAACGGAAAUUAUGACCGAUUUCGUUCUACCUGACUCCUGCACAAAUUAAUCACGUUCUGUACGAACAAGACGCUUCCUCCAUAUGGAUACUUUUCAAAUUUUCAAAUAGUUUUGGUAAUGAUUCUUGUCAUCUAUGUAUGUACUGUCUUUUUAACUUGAUGAAAAUCGUUGUAUGGCUGAUUGCCUCAGAAUAACAUUUGCAUUUUUGAUCUCAGGAAGAUAGGUUAAGAACAUUAAAGCACCGAUCAAGAACAGACCGACAAGUUUCCAUAUAUUUUCAAAUUUCAUGCCUAAGUUUAGUGCUUAGACGAUUCUCAAAGCACAGAAACUUUAUUUCAUAUGUGGAGUAACUUCUCAACCAUCAAUAACGUUUGCUUCUAAUGUCACUGUACAACAAUCUUUAUGUUAUUAGUUGUAUGUGCACACCUUGCUUUUUAGGAUGCUUAUUAUGAAAUUUUCACCAAGGACAGGAUGCUCUAAGAGCUCUGUGGUAUGCUGCUUAUCCUGAUCAAGAGCUUCAGGCGUGGUAUCAGAUCAAUGGAAAGAAAUGGGAUGGCAGGGAAGAAACCCAUCGACUGAUUUUAGGUCGUCAAUUUGCUGCAUGAGUUGAGGGCUCCUUUCAUUGCUCUGAAAAGCUUUUACCUAAUCCAAAGGAUCUGGAUUUAUCUCUUUGGAGAAUCUGCUGUUCUUAAGAUCCUAAACUUCAUUUGAUACCUGACAUAAAUUUUCAGAUUCUUUUCACCUGAAUGGGCCAACAAAUUUAUGAAAUUAAGUUCAAAACUCCCAAUAGAUGACCGAGUAUAGCAUGCUAUUAUGCCUUUACUAAUCCUUGUUGCCUUUUUUAUUGUUUCAAACAUCUUUCCAACGUCUGUUAAGAAAACAAGGAAGAAACCCAGCUGCUUAGGAAUACCACUUUGCUUUUGCUGGUGUAAAUAUCACAUUUAUGAUCAUGCAAAUGCUCGAUCUAGAUGGUUGUGAGUUGAAAAUCCAUUUCUGCGUAGUGACAGUUCACCAAUGGAGCUUCAUUGCUUAAUAUUUUCUAACAAACCAAGGACUUCUAUCAGAUCAGUGUUCCUUCAGAUGUUGUCAGAUGAAAGAUCAUUGGAGCCGUCAUCGGCCCUUUAUAUCAGGCAGCCAUACACCAAUCCAUGUGCACAGAGGUACGAAUCCUAGACAUUUAUUAAUAUAUAUAGAGAUUUAGAGAAGUCACCAUAACUCGUGAAUGAGAGGGCAUGUACUAAAAAGUUCUCCACUAUUAAUUAUUAUUAUUAUUUGUUCUACAAAUUUAUUACCAUAGUACAUAUUCAAAAAUAUAGUUCAACUUAUUAAAACAUUAGACAUUUAAAUUGUUAGAAACCACAACUCUGUGUAAUGAUAUGAUUUUGUCUAC